CAAUCUGCCGAACGUAUACCAUUUCUUCAUUCCUUAUACAUCCUUCGUUCUCUUAUAAUAUCACAAUCCCACAUACUCCAUUCUCUCUCUCUCUCUCUCUCUCUCUCUCUCUCCUAGAAAUGAAUGACCCCAAGUAUGCUUAUCCCUAUCCGGCCCAAGGUUAUUAUCAAGGUCCACCUGUAGUGCCGCCACCUCAGUACUACGCAGCUCCACCACCAAAUAGACAGCCAGGAUUUCUUGAAGGAUGCCUUGCAGCUCUAUGUUGUUGCUGUCUCCUUGAUGAGUGUUGCUGUGAUCCGUCCAUAAUCUUCGUUUAGCUGAUGAAAAUAUGUAAUACUAUAGAAUUUUUGUACUCUUUUUUUUUCCUUAUUUGGAAAUGAUGUUUGAAGGUAUUGUACGAUUGUA